UUAAGCAUAUUAAUUAGGGGAGGAAAAGAAACUAACAAGGAUUUUCUUAGUAGCGGCGAGCGAAAAGAAAUCAGUUCAGCACUAAGUCACUUUGUCUAUAUGGCAAAUGUGAGAUGCAGUGUAUGGAGCGUCAAUAUUCUAGUAUGAGAAAUUAACGAUUUAAGUCCUUCUUAAAUGAGGCCAUUUACCCAUAGAGGGUGCCAGGCCCGUAUAACGUUAAUGAUUACUAGAUGAUGUUUCCAAAGAGUCGUGUUGCUUGAUAGUGCAGCACUAAGUGGGUGGUAAACUCCAUCUAAAACUAAAUAUAACCAUGAGACCGAUAGUAAACAAGUACCGUGAGGGAAAGUUGAAAAGAACUCUGAAUAGAGAGUUAAAUAGUACGUGAAACUGCUUAGAGGUUAAGCCCGAUGAACCUGAAUAUCCGUUAUGGAAAAUUCAUCAUUAAAGUUAUAAUAUUUAAACAAUAUUAUACAAAUAAUGUGCAUUUUUUCCAUAUAAGGACAUUGUAAUCUAUUAACAUAUUAAAUUUAUCAUAAAAUAUGGCUUAUAGUUUAUUCAAAUUAUUAUGCUUGCAUUUUAACAUAGAAUAAAUGUCAUUAAUUUGAUAAAGUGUUGAUAGACUAAUAAGAAUACAGUGCGUUAAUUUUUCGGAAUUAUAUAAUGGCAUAAUUAUCAUUGAUUUUUGUGUUUAUUAUAAGCACUUGUAUGAUUAACAAUGCGAAAGAUUCAGGAUACCUUCGGGACCCGUCUUGAAACACGGACCAAGGAGUCUAACAUAUGUGCAAGUUAUUGGGAUAUAAACCUAAUAGCGUAAUUAACUUGACUAAUAAUGGGAUUAGUUUUUUAACUAUUUUAUAGCUAAUUAACACAAUCCCGGGGCGUUCUAUAUAGUUAUGUAUAAUAAUAUUUAUAUUAUUUAUGCCUCUAACUGGAACGUACCUUGAGCAGAUAUGCUGUGACCCGAAAGAUGGUGAACUAUACUUGAUCAGGUUGAAGUCAGGGGAAACCCUGAUGGAAGACCGAAACAGUUCUGACGUGCAAAUCGAUUGUCAGAAUUGAGUAUAGGGGCGAAAGACCAAUCGAACCAUCUAGUAGCUGGUUCCUUCCGAAGUUUCCCUCAGGAUAGCUGGUGCAUUUUAAUGUUAUAUAAAAUAAUCUUAUCUGGUAAAGCGAAUGAUUAGAGGCCUUAGGGUCGAAACGAUCUUAACCUAUUCUCAAACUUUAAAUGGGUAAGAACCUUAACUUUCUUGAUAUGAAGUUUAAGGUUAUGAUAUAUUGUGCCCAGUGGGCCACUUUUGGUAAGCAGAACUGGCGCUGUGGGAUGAACCAAACGUAAUGUUACGGUGCCCAAAUUAACAACUCAUGCAGAAACCAUGAAAGGCGUUGGUUGCUUAAAACAGCAGGACGGUGAUCAUGGAAGUCGAAAUCCGCUAAGGAGUGUGUAACAACUCACCUGCCGAAGCAACUAGCCCUUAAAAUGGAUGGCGCUUAAGUUGUAUACCUAUACAUUACCGCUAAAGUAGAUGAUUUAUAUUACUUGUAAUAUAAAUUUUGAAACUUUAGUGAGUAGGAAGGUACAAUGGUAUGCGUAGAAGUGUUUGGCGUAAGCCUGCAUGGAGCUGCUAUUGGUACAGAUCUUGGUGGUAGUAGCAAAUAAUCGAAUGAGACCUUGGAGGACUGAAGUGGAGAAGGGUUUCGUGUGAACAGUGGUUGAUCACGAGUUAGUCGGUCCUAAGUUCAAGGCGAAAGCCGAAAAUUUUCAAGUAAAAAUAAAAUUUACUAUAUGUAAAAAUUAUAUACUUGAAUAAUUUUGAACGAAAGGGAAUACGGUUCCAAUUCCGUAACCUGUUGAGUAUCCGUUUGUUAUUAAAUAUGGGCCUCGUGCUCAUCCUGGCAACAGGAACGACCAUAAAGAAGCCGUCGAGAGAUAUCGGAAGAGUUUUCUUUUCUGUUUUAUAGUCGUACUACCAUGGAAGUCUUUCGCAGAGAGAUAUGGUAGAUGGGCUAGAAGAGCAUGACAUAUACUGUUGUGUCGAUAUUUUCUCCUCGGACCUUGAAAAUUUAUGGUGGGGAUACGCAAACUUCUCAACAGGCCGUACCAAUAUCCGCAGCUGGUCUCCAAGGUGAAGAGUCUCUAGUCGAUAGAAUAAUGUAGGUAAGGGAAGUCGGCAAAUUAGAUCCGUAACUUCGGGAUAAGGAUUGGCUCUGAAGAUUGAGAUAGUCGGGCUUGAUUGGGAAACAAUAAUAUGGUUUAUGUGCUCGUUCUGGGUAAAUAGAGUUUCGAUCAUUUAUGGUUGUAACUUGUUCCCCGGAUAGUUAGUUACGUAUCCAAUUGUGGAACUUUCUUGCUAAAAUUUUUAAGAAUACUAGUUGGGUCAAACCAAUUAGUUCUUAUUAAUUAUAACGAUUAUCAAUUAACAAUCAAUUCAGAACUGGCACGGACUUGGGGAUCCGACUGUCUAAUUAAAACAAAUUAGUGACGCGCAUGAAUGGAUUAACGAGAUUCCUACUGUCCCUAUCUGCGAAACCACAGUUGUAAGCGGGAAAGAAGACCCUUUUGAGCUAAAUCUGAGGUAAGGAGACAUAAGAGGUGUAUAAGUGGGAGAUAUUAGACUUCGGUUUGGUAUCGCCAAUGAAAUACCACUACUCUUAUUGUUUCCUUACUUACUUGAUUAAAUGGAACGUGUAUCAUUUCCUAGCCAUUAUACGGAUAUAUUUAUUAUAUCUUAUGGUAUUGGGUUUUGAUGCAAGCUUCUUGAUCAAAGUAUCACGAGUUUGUUAUAUAAUCGCAAACAAAUUCUUUAAUGAGAGAUGCAUUUACUGUAUUAUUGAUUUGAAAAUUUGGUAUAACUCCAAUUACUCAGGUAUGAUCCAAUUCAAGGACAUUGCCAGGUAGGGAGUUUGACUGGGGCGGUACAUCUCUCAAAUAAUAACGGAGGUGUCCCAAGGCCAGCUCAGUGCGGACAGAAACCACACAUAGAGCAAAAGGGCAAAUGCUGACUUGAUCUCGGUGUUCAGUACACACAGGACAGCAAAAGCUCGGCCUAUCGAUCCUUUUGGUUUAAAGAGUUUUUUAACAAGAGGUGUCAGAAAAGUUA
rnacentral:rRNA from 1 species